CAGCAGCCGCGGGAAUACGUAGGGGGCAAGCGUUGUCCGGAAUUAUUGGGCGUAAAGCGCGCGCAGGCGGUUUUUUAAGUCUGGUGUCUAAGUGCGGGGCUCAACCCCGUGACGCACUGGAAACUGGGAGACUUGAGUGCAGAAGAGGAGAGCGGAAUUCCACGUGUAGCGGUGAAAUGCGUAGAGAUCGGGAGGAACAUCAGUGGCGAAGGCGGCCAUCUGGGACAACACUGACGCUGAGGCACGAAAGCGUGGGGAGCAAACAGGAUUAGAUACCCCAGUAGUCCCUGUCUCUUAUACC
rnacentral:rRNA from 1 species